rnacentral:rRNA from 1 species
UGGCAAACGGGUGAGUAAUACAUAUCUAACAUGCCCCUCUGUGGGGGAUAGCCACUUGAAAAAGUGAUUAAUACCCCAUAGGAAGCUUUAUCCAUGAUUUAGCUUUUAAAGCCUUCGGGCGCUGAGGGAUCGGGAUAUGCUCUAUUAGCUAGUUGGCGGGAUAAAAGCCCACCAAGGCAAUGAUAGAUAGCUGGUCUUAGAGGAUGAACAGCCACAAUGGGAUUGAGAUACGGCCCAUAUUCCUACGGGAAGCAGCAGUAGGGAAUCUUCCACAAUGGACGAAAGUCUGAUGGAGCAAUACCAUGUGAACGAUGAAGGCCUUUUUGGUUGUAAAGUUCUUUUACGAGGGAUAAUUAUGAUAGUACUUCGUGAAUAAGUGACAGCAAACUAUGUGCCAGCAGCUGCGGUAAUACAUAGGUCGCAAGCAUUAUUCGGAUUUAUUGGGCGUAAAGCAAGCGCAGGCGGAUGUGUAAGUUCUGUGUUAAAUGCAGCUACUCAAUAGUUGUAUGCACCGAAUACUACAUGUCUAGAUUGUGGUAGGGAGUUUCGGAAUUAAGCAUGGAGCGGUGGAAUGUGUAGAUAUGCUUAAGAACACCAGAGGCGAAGGCGGAAACUUAGGCCAUAAAUGACGCUUAGGCUUGAAAGUGUGGGGAGCAAAUGGGAUUAGAUACCCCAGUAGUCCACACCGUAAACGAUGGGUAUUAGAUAUUAGGGCUUUAGCUUUAGUGUUGUAGCUUACGCGUUAAAUACCCCGCCUGGGUAGUACAUAUGCAAAUAUGAAACUCAAAGGAAUUGACGGGGACCUGAACAAGUGGUGGAGCAUGUUGCUUAAUUCGAUAAUACACGAAAAACCUUACCAAGGUUUGACAUCCCUCGCAAAGCUAUAGAAAUAUAGUAGAGGUUAUCGAGGUGACAGGUGGUGCAUGGCUGUCGUCAGCUCGUGUCUUGAGAUGUUUGGUUAAGUCCCGCAACGAGCGCAACCCCACUCUUUAGUUACUUGUCUAAAGAGACUGCACAGUAAUGUAGAGGAAGGAUGGGAUCACGUCAAGUCAUCAUGCCCCUUAUGCCUUGGGCUGCAAACGUGCUACAAUGGCGAACACAAUGUGUUGCAAACCAGCGAUGGUAAGCUAAUCACCAAAUGUCGUCUCAGUUCGGAUAGGAGGCUGCGAUUCGCCUCCUUGAA